rnacentral:rRNA from 1 species
CCUACGGGGGGCAGCAGUGAGGAAUAUUGGUCAUUGGACGAGAGUCUGAACCAGCCAAGUAGCGUGAAGGAUGACUGCCCUAUGGGUUGUAAACUUCUUUUAUAUGGGAAUAAAAUGUUCCACGUGUGGGAUUUUGUAUGUACCAUAUGAAUAAGGAUCGGCUAACUCCGUGCCAGCAGCCGCGGUAAUACGGAGGAUCCGAGCGUUAUCCGGAUUUAUUGGGUUUAAAGGGAGCGUAGGUGGAUUGUUAAGUCAGUUGUGAAAGUUUGCGGCUCAACCGUAAAAUUGCAGUUGAAACUGGCAGUCUUGAGUACAGUAGAGGUGGGCGGAAUUCGUGGUGUAGCGGUGAAAUGCUUAGAUAUCACGAAGAACUCCGAUUGCGAAGGCAGUUCACUGGACUGCAACUGACACUGAGGCUCGAAAGUGUGGGUAUCAAACAGGAUUAGAUACCCUUGUAGUC